rnacentral:rRNA from 1 species
UACGAAGGGGGCUAGCGUUGUUCGGAUUUACUGGGCGUAAAGCGCACGUAGGCGGAUCGUUAAGUCGGGGGUGAAAUCCUGGAGCUCAACUCCAGAACUGCCUUCGAUACUGGCGAUCUAGAGUCCGGAAGAGGUGAGUGGAACUCCUAGUGUAGAGGUGGAAUUCGUAGAUAUUAGGAAGAACACCAGUGGCGAAGGCGGCGCACUGGCCCGGUACUGACGCUGAGGCACGAAAGCGUGGGGAGCAAACAGG